GACUCUAGACAUUCUUCUGACAGCGAGGCAGACAAAAAAAAGGUAAUACACAGUACCAGAUUAGGAGUUCUAGCGUGUUGGUACCAUGUCAAAAACAUUGAAAGAUGUUUUCAAACUGAGUCUGAAGCUAUUUCUGCUUUGCGAUCACUGUAGUGUACAACUUGAAUUCAUUUUUUUUUCAAUAAUAAAACCGCCUUAUUUUGCCAUGUUAUUCCCCCUACAUAAUUAACAGUUCAAUUGCUAUCCACACCUCAUUUGUUUGCAGACUACACAGAAGUUAGUGCAAUAUGAACAGCAAGCUCUUAAACAGCGGGCCAGCACUAUUACUAAACCAGACACUCCAGCAAGAACAAUUAUUUUCCUCAAUGCAUUAGCUUUUGGGGAGGCCUAACUUGGCCUACUUGCAUGCGCUUGCCCAGAAAACCCUGCAAGAACAUACUGUAGUCACAUGUGUUCUGUUAUGUUUGGGAGCAGGGAGAAGAAGCAGACGGACAGGGCAAGGAUGAGUACAGCUGUGCUGCUGGCGUUUCAACAGCUGGUGAGGAGGGUGCUGGACUGGAGGGUACCCUGGGACAGAAAUUGGGCAAAGGGGGAAAAAAGAAAGAUGAGAAGAAGAAAGACAAGAAGAAGAAGAAAGACAAGAGAACGGACAAGGUGAGGUCAUCGAGGCGUAUAACAACAGGCCUUUCGAGAGUUUUAACCUUGAAACUUAAGCGGUACCGAGUCCACUUACCCACUCCGUGGGAAGAGCCGGUGUUCCUAAUGUUUCGUACAGUCUGUGUAUAUUUAUUUAGCAUAUUUAUUUAGCUUUUCCUUGCCUGCUGUAUCUCUGGCUCUGCAAUAGUCACGUUGUUAACGUAUAUAAUCCCAUGUAUAGAGUCCCAUGGUGUAUACGAAUCCCACGGUUAUUACCUUCUAACAGUAUUAAGCGUGUGUUUGUUAGACUUACAGUUUUGAAUUCACAAUCUAUCGAAUGACGGUCGUUCACAAAAAUGUGUCGCUUAGAAAGUGUCAGCAGAGGGCGUCAGAGAUGAACAGGUUAAAGUUACAAAGGAAUUCAACCUCUCACGCUUUUUCUCAGGGCUCUGCGUCUGAGAGUGAUGACGAUGACAAGUGCAAGAAAGACAAAGCAAAGGAGGGUGGUGCAUCAGCUGAAUGGAUUUGUGGCAGAGAUUUUCCUGAAGGAAUGGAAGCUGGAAACCUGAGUGAUGACGAGAGAGAAGGAGGCAAGGAGAAAGAGAAGAAGAAGAAGUUGAAGAAGAAGAAGGACUUUGGCUGUUCAUCAUCCUCUUCAUCAUCUUCAUCCUCGGAAAGCUCUUCCUCUUCAGACAGCGAGGAUGACAAAAAGAAGAAGAAGAAGAAGAAGAAGAAGAAAGCUGAGGAUUCCAGUUCUUCAUCCUCCUCCUCCUCGUCUUCAUCCUCCUCUUCAUCCUCUUCUGAUAGUGAGGAGGAAAAUAAGAAGAAGAAGAAGAAGAAGAAGAAGAAGGAGUCUAGUUCUUCAUCCUCUGAAAGCUUCUCCUCCUCUGACAGCGAUGAUGACAAAAAGAAAAAGAAGAAGAAGAUGAAGAAGAAGAAAAAGGAUUCCAGCUCUGAUGAUUCAGAUAGCGAGAAAGACAGGAAGAAGAAGAAGAAGAAGAAGAAGAAGAAGACAAAGGUGAGUGCCGAUGCACACAGAUAUUAUUUGGAGAAACCCAGUGGGCAGGGUUAUGAUUAG
rnacentral:lncRNA from 13 species